GACGAACGCUGGCGGCGUGCCUAACACAUGCAAGUCAAAGGGAAGCGACUUCGGUCGUGAGUACUUGGCGCAAGGGUGAGUAACGUAUAGGUAAUCUGCCCUUUGGACUGGGAUAACCUCGAGAAAUCGAGGACAAUACCAGAUGAUGCAGCGGGACCGCAUGGUCAUGUUGUUAAAGAUUUAUCGCCAAAGGAUGAGCCUAUAUUCCAUCAGGUAGUUGGUAGGGUAACGGCCUACCAAGCCUACGACGGAUAGCUGGUCUGAGAGGAUGAUCAGCCACAUUGGAACUGAGACACGGUCCAGACUCCUACGGGAGGCAGCAGUGAGGAAUAUUGCGCAAUGGGCGAAAGCCUGACGCAGCAACGCCGCGUGGAUGAUGAAGUUCUUCGGAAUGUAAAAUCCUUUUGCAGAGGAAGAAAAUGCUGGUUUACCGGCACUGACGGUACUCUGCGAAUAAGCCACGGCUAACUCUGUG
rnacentral:rRNA from 1 species